rnacentral:rRNA from 1 species
CGGGCUAAUACCGGAUGUGGUACGGAGACAUAAGUCUCUUUACUAAAGGUAGCUUCGGCUUCCGCAUUGGGAGGGGCCCGCGGCCCAUUAGCUAGUUGGUGGGGUCAAGGCCUACCAAGGCAACGAUGGGUAGCUGGCUGAGAGGACGAUCAGCCACACUGGGACUGAGACACGGCCCAGACUCCUACGGGAGGCAGCAGUGGGGAAUCUUGCGCAAUGCGCGAAAGCGUGACGCAGCAACACCGCGUGAGGGAAGACGGCCUUAGGGUUGUAAACCUCUUUCAGAUGGGACGAAGGUGAUGCGGUGAAUAGCCGAUGUCAUUGACGGUACCGUCAGAAGAAGCUCCGGCUAACUACGUG